GCUGUAGCUCAGUGGUGGAGCAUCAGCCUUGCAUGCAGAAGGUGCCAGGUUCAAUCCCAGUGUAGACA